rnacentral:rRNA from 1 species
CGCAUCUGUGCAUGCAGCAUAUCAAUAAGCGGAGGAAAAGAAACUAACAAGGAUUCCCUUAGUAACGGCGAGUGAAGCGGGAAGAGCUCAAAUUUGAAAUCUUCAAGGUUUUACCUUGACGAAUUGUAGUUUAAAGAAGUGUUUUCUGUUGAAGUUUUGGUAAAAGUUCUUUGGAAUAGGACAUCAUAGAGGGUGAGAAUCCCGUAUUUGACCAUUAUUUUCAGCUGUGUGAUACACUUUCAAAGAGUCGGAUUGUUUGGGAAUGCAGUCCAAAAUGGGUGGUAAAUUUCAUCUAAAGCUAAAUAUUGGCGAGAGACCGAUAGCGAACAAGUACCGUGAGGGAAAGAUGAAAAGAACUUUGAAAAGAGAGUUAAACAGUACGUGAAAUUGUCAAAAGGGAAGCGUUUGACACCAGUGUUGUUUUCUCGAAAAUCAAUUAAAAAGAGUUUGAUUUUGUUGUGUAUUGACCUUAACAGCUUGCAUUUCAAUUUUCUUGCUUUUUUUAAUGCACUUUUCGUUUAACAAGUCAACAUCAGUUUCUUUUGUUGUAAAAAGGUCAUUGGAAGGUGGCUUUCUUUUCGGAGAAAGUGUUUAUAGCCUUUGACUCCUGCAAUCGGAGAGACUGAGGUCUGCGGCGUAGAUCCUUCGGGGUUAGAUACAUUUGUGCUAAGUUAUAGCUUUUUAUAGACAACUUGUUGACUAUGAUUAGUCUUGUAGCUUACUCGCUUAUGCUAUUUUACCUACGCUUAGGAUGUUGAAGACUCUACAGAGAU